rnacentral:rRNA from 1 species
AGAGUUUGAUCAUGGCUCAGAGCGAACGCUGGCGGCAGGCCUAACACAUGCAAGUCGAACGGAUCCUUCGGGAUUAGUGGCGGACGGGUGAGUAACACGUGGGAACGUGCCCUUUGGUUCGGAACAACUCAGGGAAACUUGAGCUAAUACCGGAUGUGCCCUUCGGGGGAAAGAUUUAUCGCCAUUGGAGCGGCCCGCGACUGAUUAGCUAGUUGGUGGGGUAAAGGCCCACCAAGGCGACGAUCAGUAGCUGGUCUGAGAGGAUGAUCAGCCACAUUGGGACUGAGACACGGCCCAAACUCCUACGGGAGGCAGCAGUGGGGAAUCUUGCGCAAUGGGCGAAAGCCUGACGCAGCCAUGCCGCGUGAAUGAUGAAGGUCUUAGGAUUGUAAAAUUCUUUCACCGGGGACGAUAAUGACGGUACCCGGAGAAGAAGCCCCGGCUAACUUCGUGCCAGCAGCCGCGGUAAUACGAAGGGGGCUAGCGUUGCUCGGAAUUACUGGGCGUAAAGGGAGCGUAGGCGGACUGUUUAGUCAGAGGUGAAAGCCCAGGGCUCAACCUUGGAAUUGCCUUUGAUACUGGCAGUCUUGAGUACGGAAGAGGUAUGUGGAACUCCGAGUGUAGAGGUGAAAUUCGUAGAUAUUCGGAAGAACACCAGUGGCGAAGGCGACAUACUGGUCCGUUACUGACGCUGAGGCUCGAAAGCGUGGGGAGCAAACAGGAUUAGAUACCCCGGUAGUCCAA